UGUAAGUGCAACCAUGAGUUUUUUUUGCCCAAAUUUGAUCAUCCAUCUUAUUGGAAUUUUUUUUAUAGUUAGUAUUUUUGUUGUUAUGAGAUGAUAAAACAUGAAUAGCACUAUAUGUGUGACUUAUGUUUUUAAUUUUUUUCAAAUAAGACAGACGAUCAAAGUUGAGCACGGAAAAUUAUGGCUGCACUUCAA
rfam:Oryza rufipogon genomic scaffold, chr02